UCAUUGGUCAGCGACAGCUCUGUCCGUCCCCCGGACUCUAAUUGGUCAGAGGCAUCUCUGUCAGGUGGAGCAGAAAGACCUCAGCUGGAGCCUGGGACUGCAACACGGAGGGUGCUCAAGAAACAAAAGAAGGGAGUUAUUCUUCACUGAGUGAGGGCUACAACAGCACAGACUCUGAGAAUGAAUCCAACGCAUCCCAGAGGAGGAAGGAGUUAUCACCAGGCCAGGCUGUGUCCCCAGUGCAGGCUGUAUUGCGGCUGCUCGGAGGAGACGUCACCUCGCCAGGACCCGAGCUGAUUAUCUUCCCUUGGAUGCUUCAAAUGAUCGUCAGCUUUCUCAGAGAAGAGAAGGCUGUGAUUCAGAGGAUGAGGACGAGCCUGAUAGGAAUCAUCUCCAUUUUGUUCCUAAAAAGAGAACUCUUAGUCGUAGGCUGGCUGAACGCGUGGGUGAGUUGGUGCCUUUUCUCCCAGAGAGAGGCUGUGUCUUUCUUUUACUGAUGGAUGUCCGGAAGAAUGUGAGACUUGCCCAGUGAAGAGUGCAGUGCAAAGUUGUGCUCUUGGUCUUGACAAAAGAGCAUAAUGCUUGGUGGUCCUUGAGGUUUACAUGGGCUGUUCCUGCUCUCCACACACUCCCAUUACGACUGUUAUGGGAAAGGGGUAAAAACAAACCAACAAACAAAAAGCAACCAACCAGAGCCAGCCAGCCCUUUGGAAGUAAGCAGACUUACUGCAUGCCAAGCGUAUGUGGCUUUUCGGUUGCUCCUUAACUUCACAUCCAGUAUAACUGGUGUUCUUAGGUCCUCAUACUCCGUUUGUUUCUGGAAACCCCUCUUUUUGCUGUCCAGAAGAUUGCAGAAGUUUUUAGCAGCAGACCUUGGUCAUGGACUUGAUUACUUCAAGUCACUGUGUUUGGGUUAGAUUCUGCCCUACAGUCUCCUGCUGUUUUAGAACGCAGAAUGUCAUUUAAUUUCUAUGUUGAUGUGGUUGGAGUCUUUAAGUUAUAAUUACAGUCAAGCCAAGUUGUCAGAAUGAAACUUCUAUCUUCAUCUUCAUUGUUUGGCUGUAGCUUAUUUCUACUUUUCAAAUUAAAGACUGUACUGCUUGUUAGGUUUCAGCUGUUGAUAUUGAACUGCUAUAUAUUGUGGGAAGCCAUUAAUGUCUUCAGACUGAGAGGAGGGCUGCUUUACCCUAAAUUACAGAUUGCUUUGUACUGAUGGAUGUGAAUGGUGUAUGCAUUUUACACCAUAAGUACACAGCUUUUUGUAUAUACGCUUUCCCUUUUGUGUUGUACAGAAAUUGCCCAAUCUGAUCAUUCCAAUGUACAUCUUUUUGUCAUAUGCUUUAUGCAUUUGCACGGUAUGUUUUGUUGACCUCUAAAGCUGCAGAGGCAAAACUUACAUCAGUUGUGUACAAACUUAUAUUUAAUUUGC
ensembl:lncRNA